rnacentral:rRNA from 1 species
UACGUAGGUGGCGAGCGUUGUCCGGAUUUACUGGGCGUAAAGGGAGCGUAGGCGGACUUUUAAGUGAGAUGUGAAAUACCCGGGCUCAACUUGGGUGCUGCAUUUCAAACUGGAAGUCUAGAGUGCAGGAGAGGAGAAUGGAAUUCCUAGUGUAGCGGUGAAAUGCGUAGAGAUUAGGAAGAACACCAGUGGCGAAGGCGAUUCUCUGGACUGUAACUGACGCUGAGGCUCGAAAGCGUGGGGAGCAAGCAGGAUUAGAUA